rnacentral:lncRNA from 13 species
UCUCUGUACCAUAUAAGAUCCUGCAGACAAGUAGCAUCUAGUCUGUUGGUCUAAAUGUCUGAGGCUACUGAACUUCCAUUCAGUUCUGGUUUCUGCUGAGGCCCAGUAGGCAAAGCUGUGUUCUGGGGACACUGGGGGAAACACGGUGAUGGCACACAGUACCAGCUGUCGGGAACUUAAGGGGGACCCUGCUCCUAAUAGAACCUGUGUUAUCUGUAAGUGGGUCCAUCAAGAGCAGGGAAUAACCUGGUACUGGUGCGGCAACCUCCCAAUCAGCUGGGAUCCCCGGUGGGAACCACCACACUUGACUAACUUUUGUAUUUUCAGUAGAGGCAGGGUUUCACCUUGUUGGCCAGGCUGGUCUUGAACUCCUGAGGUCAAGGGAUCCACCCUCCUGGGCCUCCUAAAUUGCUGGGAUUCCAGGCUUGAGCCACCAUGGUGUCUCCACAGAUCCUUUUUUCAGUAAAGGUUGUUAGAAUUCAUCUCUCGGUCCAGUCUCCUGUAUAAAUUUCUCUAACCAUUCAUUGACCAUGAUAUAUGAUGAGAUAAAUCAAUAUUACAGCAAUGCUUCUGGAAAGUAUCCAGGGCAAUUUUUGUAAGAUUUUUGGGGAAAAAGUUUUAAUUUUUUGCCUGAUUAAGGUCUACUGGAUGAGGGAGAUUUUAUCCCAUGGAUCAAAAGCAGGCUCAUCUACUUCUAGGGCAACUUAGUCUAGGGCCCGUUAGACACUCCUGUCAGAAUACCACAUUCUUACACUGAGAAUAUUUUACAUCCUUGUGCUAUGAGUGGGCACUGAUUUGGUCUUGUGUGAAGUGUGAUUUGCUUAAUGAGACCUGCUCUUCUAAAUUUGUUUACAGGAGAUCGAAAAGAUCACGAUGAAGAACAGAAAUGCAGAGACAGCAAAAAUAAACUUCUUAUGAGUCAAGUGGCCUACUACCUGGGCUGCCGACUGAAGACGGAAGUCCCUGGCUAUCUGUGUUCUGCCCCAAACGUCAGCACAGCGGCAUCUGGCAAGCCUCCUUCCAGAGAAAACACAGAGGUGAACGUUGCGGAAGGCAUUGAGAAAUCCUGCUCCCAACAGGAAGAAAACAAACUGACUUUCAGAGCCAGCAGAAAUAGACUUCUUCUGAGUCAGGUGGCCUACUUCCUGAACUACCAGCUGAAGACCUACAGUAAGUUCUACAGGUUCACCACCACGAAAGUGAUGAAUAAUGUCCUGUCUUGUUUUGAGAACCUAACCACUUUCUUAAUCAAAAUUAGUUUCAUCCUCUUCAUCCUUGCCGAAAAUAGAAAUGAGUAUUUUACCAUUUUGUUAAAGAUGUAAGGCAGAGGCCAAAGUAUUUAGCAACUUUUCCAUGUCUGCAAUAAGGUGGGUGUGGGACUGGGAUUAAAAUGCUAGCAAUUGGCCGGGCGCAGUGGCUCAUGUGUAUAAUCCCAGCACUUUGGGAGGCGGAGGCAGGUGGAUCACAAGGUCAAGAGAUCGAGACCAUCCUGGUCAACAAGGUGAAACACCGUCUCUACUUAAAAUACUUAGCCGGGUAUAGUGGCGUGCGCCUGUAGUCCCAGCUACUCAGGAGGCUGAGGCAGGAGAAUUGCUUGAACCCAGGAGAUGGAGGUUGCGGUGAGCCGAGUUUGUGCCAUUGCACUCCAGCCUGGGUAACAAGAGCGAAACUCCAUCUUAAAAAAAAAAAAAUCCCAGCUAUUGAUUUCUUACACAGGUACAGAACCACCUGUUUUUCUCAGCAAAGGGUGAAAUCAUGUUUACAGGAAUCCUCUCUACUGUAUAAGAUUCUGCAGACCAGUAGCAUCUAGUCUGUUGGUCUAAAUGUCUGAGGCUAGUGAACUUCUACUUGGUUCUGGUUUCUGCUGAGCCCCAGUAGGC